AGAAACCCUACUUGCCGUAGAGAAGCUGCAGCCGCACAACUCACCACUCUCUUGUUGUAUGCAGCUGUAGUAGGCUCGGUGCAAGAAGGGCUACGUUGUGGAUGCAGGAUCAUGGUGAGACCACAGCGGAGACCACGGCGGAGGCCGGAGAGGGAAGGCAACAAGCUGUCUCCUCCAUCUCGAUGCCAUGGAUCAUUCUCCUUCUUCCAACAAGUGUGAUUUCCUUGAUUAAUAUGAUAGGUGGUUUGGCAACCCUAUAGCAACCAACGUCUUCGGCUGCCUGAGGAAUUAAUGCCUCAACUAGCCAUGAUAUAUCGGCUGCCUGAGGAAUUAAUGCCUCAACUAGCCAUGAUAUAUGCUCGUGUGCCUUGCAUCUGUUUUGAUCUUGUCGGAUAUAAUCGCCCAGAUAUUUGCUCCAAACAACUGGGAUUUAAUUCAUUGGAUCUGUGGCGGCCUCGACAUCUUGCGAAAAAUAUGAUAUAUUCAAUGAUGAGUGGAAUCGGAGGUCGCAAUUUAUAUUGAACGAUGAUUAUAGGGUGGUUUGUUAGACAUGAUGAUGAAAAUCAUGUUGUGGAUAACAUUGAUAAUACUACCUCAGGGAACGAGCGGAGGAGAAAAGAUUAAGCAAGGGAAAGGCUGCGCUUAGUUCUUGUUCGCACACAACAACAGCUCGCAGAUAUCAUCAUUCAAGAGUAUACUAGGCAAGAUGAGAAUCCAUCUUAAACUGACACAUACCACUCCAUAGCCCUCAUACCAGACUUUUUGAUUGUGUAGAUGGUGCAUUUUUCGGUUACUGUAAUACUAUCCACAUACAUGAGAGAUGAUUUAGUAAGCACGGUACGGAAUAAAAGAACUAACUCUUGCGUCAAAAAUGUAGCAGCUGGGGAGUAUUACAUAUAAAUUAUAUUGUACAUGUGGACAUUAGUUUGUUCAGUUAGAGUGUAGUGCAGAUUAGAAAAGUUUCUGUUAGAUUAACACUUGUAUAUAUAGUUCAAUCAAUGAAAGAAUGAAUGAUUCAGAUUC